CACUCCUGCGGGAGGCAGCAGUGGGGAAUUUUGGACAAUGGGCGAAAGCCUGAUCCAGCAAUGCCGCGUGUGUGAAGAAGGCCUUCGGGUUGUAAAGCACUUUUGUCCGGAAAGAAAUCCUUGGCUCUAAUACAGUCGGGGGAUGACGGUACCGGAAGAAUAAGCACCGGCUAACUACGUGCCAGCAGCCGCGGUAAUACGUAGGGUGCGAGCGUUAAUCGGAAUUACUGGGCGUAAAGCGUGCGCAGGCGGUUUGCUAAGACCGAUGUGAAAUCCCCGGGCUCAACCUGGGAACUGCAUUGGUGACUGGCAGGCUAGAGUAUGGCAGAGGGGGGUAGAAUUCCACGUGUAGCAGUGAAAUGCGUAGAGAUGUGGAGGAAUACCGAUGGCGAAGGCAGCCCCCUGGGCCAAUACUGACGCUCAUGCACGAAAGCGUGGGGAGCAAACAGGAUUAGAAACCCGGGUAGUCCCAUGAU
rnacentral:rRNA from 1 species